GAAUAUGCUUUCAUUCUGCGAUAAAAGGAAAUAGAUACGGAUAGAUACCGAUCAUAACUGUACAUUUUGUUUUCACAGACUAAGCACGCCUCAUAAUGAGGCGGUUACCUCCCAUCUGCUCGGAGCAAUAUCUGUAAGCCUCGAUUUACACUAUAUUGAUAAAGACGACAUUGUGUCCGCCUGUAAGACAUAUUACGAGACGGUACGCAGGAGCUUCAGAUAUACGCAGCCAGAGAACUCAAUGCGGGCGGAAGCUGCCAAGAAUUCAGCUCGGAGUCGAGCGAGAAGAAAGAGGCUGCUGGAAUCGAGGCAGAGCGUGCUAGCUGAUGAGGAAGUGGAACUCUGGAAGUCCGCCACCGUCGACCUCAUGUCUGACGAGGAAGAUGGCGUCGUUGGCGGGGUCUCUGGAUGGAUUGUACGGCCGCCGUCAU